UGGAAGCUCAAGGGAGAAGACAGUUGAAUCCCCAGCUGAGUUUUGGACUCACUUUGGCUUGAGAGUGGUCUGAAGACACAACACUUCAUUUUCUCUCUGGCCAUUACCUUUCUACCUCUAACUUGAGCUGAAAAUUGUAUUAGAGAGAGAAAUUAGUGAGAAUAAUAAGGGAAACCAAAAGAUGUUACACCAGGAAGCAGUUUGAAGGAAUGAAACUGAUUUCUGAGCAGCUCCUUACUUCCUGUUCUCCUCACCAAGCAAGCUGAUGAAAUUUUCCCCACAGAUGGCACAAGUGAAAAUGAUAAAAUCAAGUCCAAUGAUUUUUAAUGGAACUGUACUCUUAUCUACUGGAGCAAGGCAAAGUCAGCAUAAGGAGAAAUGGAUGAAUGAAUUGGCUGCAGAAAGGGGGAAUAAGAGUUACAAUAAUUUGCAGAUAUAAGAAACUUUGGAAAAGAAGAGAACAAAAUGGAGUGUCGCAAUGUGAGGGAGGUAGAAGAGUGGCAGACAAAGAGAAAGGAGGAGGGAAUAAGCAUUUAUAGAGUACCUUCUAUGUGUCAGACAGUGUGGUAAGUGCUCUUUAAUCAAUCAAUAAACAUUUAUUAAACACUGACAGUCUGAUAGGCACUGAUGAUACAAAAAGUGGCAAAAGCAAUCCUCACCCUCAAGGAGCUUACAAUCUAAUGGAGAAAAAUAAAGAAAUACGUGCAUCCAAGAGUCCAAGAAAGUACGAGAGUGAAUUUGAACUUAAAGUAUAAAGUAUAAUUGUCGUGAUGUACUGAUAUUUUUGUGCUCCCUGGACUUAUUAUGUUAUGGUCUAUAUAGAAGGUUUGUGGUAUUUCUGCCUUUUUAACUUUUAUUUACAAUUUGUCUGAUUCCUAACGCAUGGGCUAUUUUUGAAAAGGUGACAUGUGGUGCUUCAAAAUAUGUACACCCUUUAAUGUCUAUAUUAAAAAGAAACCAUAAAAAUUUCAGCUCUAGAUUUGUAAACAGUUUGUGCAUUUCUCUAUUUUCCUUUUUAUCUUUCUGUUAGAUUCAUCCAGAUAUAAAAGAAUACUAGUUUCCUACUAAUAUUGUGUGGUUAUCUGUGUCUUCUCACAAUUCAAUUAAUUUUCCCUUUAUUUUACUUAGAUAAUAUUACAUUUGCAGCAUGUAAGUUUAAUACUGACAAUGAGUUGGUUUAUGUGGUUCUUUUAAGAAUAACGUACUUUCUUUAUUUACAGAUUCUUUUUAUUUUUACUUUGAUAAAAAUGAUUGCAUGGUUGCAAUUCCUGCUUUUUUAGGUUCACUUGAUAUGUAGCAAAUUUAAUUUCAACCUCUCACUUUGAUGUCAAUGUAUCUUUACUUUUAUAUAUGUUUCUUCUAAGUAACUGAUUGUGAGGGGCUCUUUUUGUUUCCUGAUCCAUUCUGCCACUUUAUUUCAUUUUGUUGGAUUAUUUCAUCCAUUCACAUUAAAGAUUAUGUUU